AUUGAACGCUGGCGGCAUGCCUAACACAUGCAAGUCGAGCGGAUGAACGGGCCUUGCUCCUGGAUUCAGCGGCGGACGGGUGAGUAAUGCCUCGGAAUCUGCCUAGUAGUGGGGGAUAACUUCCCGAAACGGGCGCUAAUACCGCAUACGUCCUGAGGGAGAAAGCGGGGGAUCUUCGGACCUCACGCUAUCAGAUCAGCCUAUGUCGGAUUAGCUAGUUGGUGGGGUAAAGGCCUACCAAGGCGACGAUCCGUAACUGGUCUGAGAGGAUGAUCAGUCACACUGGAACUGAGACACGGUCCAGACUCCUACGGGAGGCAGCAGUGGGGAAUAUUGGACAAUGGGCGAAAGCCUGAUCCAGCAAUGCCGCGUGUGUGAAGAAGGUCUUCGGAUUGUAAAGCACUUUAAGCUGGGACGAAGGGCAGUAAGUUAAUACCUCGCUGUUUUGACGGUACCCACAGAAUAAGCACCGGCUAACUUCGUG
rnacentral:rRNA from 1 species